UACGUAGGUGGCAAGCGUUGUCCGGAUUUACUGGGCGUAAAGAGCGCGCAGGCGACUGGGCAAGUCCGAUGUGAAAGCUUCCGGCUUAACUGGAAAAUUGCAUCGGAAACUGCUCGGCUUGAAGGUGGGAGAGGGUAGCGGAAUUCCCGGUGUAGUGGUGAAAUGCGUAGAUAUCGGGAGGAACACCAGUGGCGAAGGCGGCUACCUGGCCCACUCUUGACGCUGAGGCGCGAAAGCUAGGGGAGCAAACGGG
rnacentral:rRNA from 1 species